rnacentral:rRNA from 1 species
GGGCUCCUUCGGGGGUACUCGAGCGGCGAACGGGUGAGUAACACGUGAGUAAUCUGCCCCUCACUUUGGGAUAGCCACCGGAAACGGUGAUUAAUACCGGAUAUGACGCGGCCUCGCAUGGGGUUGUGUGGAAAGUUUUUCGGUGAGGGAUGUGCUCGCGGCCUAUCAGCUUGAUGGUGAGGUAAUGGCUCACCAUGGCUUCGACGGGUAGCCGGCCUGAGAGGGUGACCGGUCACACUGGGACUGAGACACGGCCCAGACUCCUACGGGAGGCAGCAGUGGGGAAUAUUGGACAAUGGGCGGAAGCCUGAUCCAGCAACGCCGCGUGAGGGAUGACGGCCUUCGGG